rnacentral:rRNA from 1 species
AGUCGAGCGGACGGAUGGGAGCUUGCUCCCUGAAGUCAGCGGCGGACGGGUGAGUAACACGUGGGCAACCUGCCUGUAAGACUGGGAUAACUUCGGGAAACCGGAGCUAAUACCGGAUAAUGCAUUUCCCCUCAUGGGGAUAUGCUGAAAGAUGGUUUCGGCUAUCACUUACAGAUGGGCCCGCGGCGCAUUAGCUAGUUGGUGAGGUAACGGCUCACCAAGGCAACGAUGCGUAGCCGACCUGAGAGGGUGAUCGGCCACACUGGGACUGAGACACGGCCCAGACUCCUACGGGAGGCAGCAGUAGGGAAUCUUCCGCAAUGGACGAAAGUCUGACGGAGCAACGCCGCGUGAGUGAUGAAGGUUUUCGGAUCGUAAAACUCUGUUGUCAGGGAAGAACAAGUGCCGGAGUAACUGCCGGCACCUUGACGGUACCUGACCAGAAAGCCACGGCUAACUACGUGCCAGCAGCCGCGGUAAUACGUAGGUGGCAAGCGUUGUCCGGAAUUAUUGGGCGUAAAGCGCGCGCAGGCGGUCUCUUAAGUCUGAUGUGAAAGCCCACGGCUCAACCGUGGAGGGUCAUUGGAAACUGGGGGACUUGAGUGCAGAAGAGGAAAGUGGAAUUCCACGUGUAGCGGUGAAAUGCGUAGAGAUGUGGAGGAACACCAGUGGCGAAGGCGACUUUCUGGUCUGUAACUGACGCUGAGGCGCGAAAGCGUGGGGAGCAAACAGGAUUAGAUACCCUGGUAGUCCACGCCGUAAACGAUGAGUGCUAAGUGUUAGAGGGUUUCCGCCCUUUAGUGCUGCAGCAAACGCAUUAAGCACUCCGCCUGGGGAGUACGGCCCGCAAGGCUGAAACUCAAAGGAAUUGACGGGGGC